rfam:Emmonsia sp. CAC-2015a strain CBS 136260 supercont2.183, whole genome shotgun sequence.
GGGCGCUUGGUUUAGUGGUAUAACAUAUCAUUCGCAUUUUAUAUAUCUAGAGUGUAUAUAUUUGCGUUUCUUGAUAGGGUCGCCAGUUCGAUUCCGGCAGCGUCCA